ensembl:lncRNA
GUCCACAGCAGAGUCCCUAAAAAAUCUGUUUGUGAAAAGGCCAGUCUUUUGUGACAAGUCAGAAUGUUUUCUAAAAGCUCAACUGGCACCCUUUUAGCGGUAGGACUUUGUCCAGAUCUUCAGCUCCACUUUCCUGCAAUUUCUCUUUCCUUUCCUUCUCUGCUACCCAACCCCCGCCCCUUCCGCCCUGUUUCCCGUUUCAUUUUCUGGCUCCUGCUCUGACAGGAAAACAAGGACGCUGAAUUUUGUGUUCUCAAAGCCCUGGAUCCGUGGCUCUUCAGGUUCAGAGGAACUUCAACUGAACCUAGAACUUUUUCACACCUCGAUUAGAAAGAAAAACAAAAAGAAACAAAAACCCAGAAAAAAAAAAAACUAUAAGUUGAUUGGCUGCUGAGACAGCAAGGGCUUUUUACAGAGACCUGUACAGCAUCACACCAAGAGGGGCGAUGUCUGGCAAGAGAUUAAAUAGCUGUGUCUCGCUUUGUGCAGGUCACCAACUUGUUAACUCGUCAUACUAUAAAGGGGUAGCUGGGAGGGGGACCAAACUGUGGGGCUCCAAGGGUAUGUGCAAUGUACAACAUCAUAUAUAUACACACGUGGCAGCAUAGCCGCUGCAGCUAAAGGUUAAAACCAGUUCUAAGAGGUGAUCUCAGGGUUAUUCAUACAAUCAAGGAGGAGAGAAAGAGGUCAGGGUGUUGUAGGUUCACACAUGAUACUUUGGGGGAAAAGCCUUUUUUUUCUCCUCAACGUUUAACUAAAAACAUUUUAAAAACUACAGCUUGCUGCUGACCCAGCGUCUUCUCUCAUUUCCAGGUGAGACAUUAUUAUUACAGUAUGUUUACAGUAUCAGGUGUACAGUACAGUACAUGAAAGGGUCUACACUCUACUGCACAGGCCUCUCCAGUGAACAGGGUCUGCUCACAACUGCGAACUUCUUGGCUCCUGCAAGAUUGUGAAUGUACAACAAUAAACCACACACAGUUCAGCAGUCACUUUUUUGUCCUUCAGGUUUUUUUUUUUUUUUGUAUUUUUUUCCUUUUUUUUUUUUUACCAUUAAAAACAGUUAUGAAAUGUGGCAUCCCAUUGAUGCAAGGAUCGGGAAAGCCAUUUUUAUUUUUAUUUUUUCCCCAAACUCACUGUAAACAACAGUAACUUUGGUUAAAAUAAAAAAGUCUUCUAUUUAGGCAGAGCUUUAUCUUUUCAAAUAGAGUGGGGUCCUGAGGGAAGUAAGGUAAGGACAGGAACAGAAAGGUGUGGAGGGGAGGGGGGAAGGAGGAGGAAGAGAAACAGGAGAGACUUUUUCCCAAGGGAGAAGCUGGACAGCACAGGGUAAACUGGAUUCUGAGGUGGUUUUGCAUAAAUAAAGGGCAACAGUCAGUUUCUAAGUUCUCCACACACGCACACACACACAGGGGGGAGAAGUCCCACAGCUGUCAUGACUGGCCAAUUAAAAACAGUACAUCACAAAUGACUUGCGAAACCAAUGAGUUCAUCAACGGUGACACGGAGAUGUCCAACAGCCGUGACUCAUACAGAGUGAACUCUGAGUGGUUUUCGUCCACCUUGGCCAAGGCAAGCAGUGCACGGGCAGCCCGCCGCAUCAUGUCCACACUAGUUGGCUCAAAGGGUGGGUUCUGCAUGUGGAGGAGGCUGGCCUGACUCUGCUGGAACUGUGUGGCAGCAAGACUGUCCUCGAGGAAGCCCAAGAGGUUGCCAAUGCUGCCCUUCUGCACUGCGAUGGCACGGGCUGCCAGGCUGUCCCCCUGUGCCAGGUUGGCUAGCAGUACCACCGCCAUCUCCCGGCAUACUGGGUUCUUUCGGUCACUGAGGAAGCGCACCAUGGUGCUAUACAACUUCUCCAGGCGGCUGAAGGGGGGUGUGGCUAGGAUCAGGUCCACAUUGUUGUCCUGGAUACUGAGUUUGCUGAGGGUUUCUAACACCAGUCUCUGGGGGAAAGGACGGCAUUGGGGCCCAGAGUGGAGAAAGGGUCUUGGGCUUCAGCUGACGGGCAAACUGCCCAGUGUAGGAGUCCAUCCAGAACAGGUAGACAAAUGCUCUCAGGGUAUGGGGAGAGGUCUAACUGCCCUGAGAUGUUGGCGAGUGUGACCAAGGUGUUUUCCCGGAGCAUCUCCAAGCAGUCCCACCACCACUCCACUUUGUUACAGCUCACCCCUUGGUCCUGUUCCUCCUCUUUCUCAUAAGUUAGUGGUGCCUGCUUCCGUUCUGGAUGCUUGUGGUGCAGCAGGAUCAGCUUGCCCAGGAUGAGCAGCAGCCCUGGGUGUUUAGACAUCUCAAAGUCGUUGCCUGGCACAAAUGACAGGCUUCGGAUGGUAUUGGAGACACAGAUGCAGCGCUUGGCAAGUGAAUCCUGCCAGUCCAGAAGGGUACACAAUGGAGUUUCAUCCUUACUGUGAGGUUCAUCCUCUAGGAUCUUGAUGUUCCGGUGGCUCUGUGCUGGGCUAAUGCCAAAUGGAAACUUGCUGCUUUCCUUAGUGGCCUCUGCACUCUUGGCUCCCUCCUCGGUCAGUGUGCUAGACCGAGUAGAUAACAUAUCAUCCAUGGUGGCUGUGAUCCGUUUUUCUGGAAGGCCAUCAGGUGGGGGUCCCUCCUGUUCUGUCGUCCCAGGAGUACCCUCUACUGUUAUGACAUGUUUCCGGGGGGCUGUUGAGCAGGGCACAUGAGACCGGGAAGGCAGCAGCUCUGUCUUGCUUUCAAAGUGGGUCUGGAUAUGUUCAGUAGUGUCCCCGCCACCAAUCCGCCAGUGCAGCAGGCCACUAUCAAACUCCUGCACCCGCCCAAGCUUAUCUGAACAGUCCACCACAAAUGGGUCAUUUUUCUGUACAACCUUUACUGGAAGCUUGUCAAACUUACUGAUUAGCUUCUCUUCACUGUUCUCUGACGCUGGCUUGUCCUUACCCAAAAAAGCCAUCUCCUCAUCAUUUUCAAUUACUUCUUCCUCUUCAUCCUCCUUUAGUUUAGGAGCUAGAAGUUCUUCUUCUUCCUCACCCUCUGUUGGGGUUGGACUAGACACCUUGUUGAAUCUCCCAGGGUCCAGUAGCGUUCUCUGUCCUGGGUCACCCACCUCAUACUCUUUUAAAAUGCCAAAGAUCUCAAUCAGGCAUCGUCGGAAGUAUUCCACAAGGAGCUCUAGUAACCCUGGGAGCUGAAAAAGAAAGCAUAGAAAGUAAAUUAAGGAAGAAAAGAAUCCUUGAUUUGAGAGACCUCUCAAGUUCCAUCCAUCUCUCCUCCACCCUCUUUUUGCAGGGGAUUAAGCACAGGGCCUUGUAAAGGCUAGGUAACUAACUGCUCUAUGACUGAGCUACCCACUUCUACCCGAUCUUCCCUUUUCUUCUUGUCACUCAGUAUCAACCUGGUAGAGGCAGCCACUCAUUUUCCAAAGCUUCCGCAAAGCAAACUGCUCAUCUUCAUCUCUCCUACGCCUAUGCAAAGCUCUUCCUUUCUGUCAGAACAACCACCCCAUAAGCCUGCCCUUAGCAGGAUGGAAAUUCCAGCCACAGCUUAACACUUCACCCACAAAUGCCACCCCAUCUCUCAGCCUUCUCUUUUUUUUUUAGCCGCCUCUUUCUCAACCAAUAUUCUGGUUUUCUUUACCAGGCCAACUUCCUACUGGCUGGUCACUGCCACUAUCUCUCUAUAUCCCAUUGCUAAGUGGAGCCCAAGUCUAAACCUGGUGGAAUAUCCCCUUCCAACAUGAGCAAAGGGAAGGGAAUGCAGUGAGGACAGAUAUUCAUCUGCUCUGUUUUCCAAGCUCCCCAACAUUCCAGGAGGCUGAACCUCCAUGAAUCUUUCAGCAUGAGUGGGACAAAGCUUUGGCUCUCCAAACACUGAUCCAAGCAAAAGGCUCAGAAGACUCAACCCAGGUUGGCUCUUCCAUAUGCUGUGUACCUCUAGAACAGAAUACUGUACUGAUCUCUAGACUAGCCUUUGGCUGAACAGUAUAGCAGAAAAGAAAAGAAAAAAAUAUGUACUGGUACCUCAGUUCACAAACUCAAUUCUCUCCACAAUUCUGGUCACAAACUGAACUGGAUGAGAAUCAAAUCAAAUUUCCGCAUAAGGUCAACAUUGAAC